rnacentral:rRNA from 1 species
GACGAACGCUGGCGGCGUGCUUAACACAUGCAAGUCGAGCGAGAAAGCUCCUUCGGGAGUGAGUACAGCGGCGAACGGGUGAGUAUCACGUGGGCAACCUGCCCUGAGGAGCGGGACAACCCGGGGAAACCCGGGCUAAUACCGCAUAAUUCGUUACGGCCUAAGUCGUAACGGCAAAUGGUAGCUUCGGCCUCCGCCUCAGGAUGGGCCCGCGCCGCAUUAGCUUGUUGGUGAGGUAACGGCUCACCAAGGCAACGAUGCGUAGCUGGUCUGAGAGGACGAUCAGCCACACUGGGACUGAGACACGGCCCAGACUCCUACGGGAGGCAGCAGUGGGGAAUCUUGCGCAAUGGGCGAAAGCCUGACGCAGCAACGCCGCGUGAGGGAAGACGGCUUUCGGGUUGUAAACCUCUUUCAGGGGGGACGAAGCUUCCAGGGUUAAUAGCCCAUGGGGUGACGGUACCCCCAGAAGAAGCCCCGGCUAACUACGUGCCAGCCGCCGCCGUAACAC